UAUCAAAAGCAGACACUAUAAGUAUAGAAGUUAUAGCAACUUUCCAUAAAUAUUGUUUACCAAAAAAAAAAACUUUCCAUAAACAUUCAGAACUCUCUGCUAUAAAUUGAGAGAAAGAAGUUUGAAUAAGACACAAUCCACAACCUCAAAAUAUUAACCAAAUGGCAAAGACCAGCAUCUCAAAAUCUCUCUUCGUCAUCCUUUUCAUUGUGCUACUUUUCUCAGUUGAGGAGAUAGGGGUUGAGGCAAAAGAAUGUCAAGAAAAGCUGACGCAUAAUCAUUGUGAUUAUAGCAAAGCAGACCUGGUAUGCUUGCACGAUUGCCAAUAUAGACACGGUCAAAGUGUCAAAACCAGUUGCACCAAGUAUUGUAUUUGUACCUGGGAAUGUAAUUAAUGUCUUAAGUACUAGUUUAUACUAUAUAAAGUACACUCCUAUUCUCAAA